rnacentral:tmRNA from 1 species
GGGGCUGAUUUAGGAUUCGACAGGAUCACGACGGCUUGUGGAGCAUGCCGAGGUGCGGUUUGCCUCGUUAAAAAGCCGCAAAAAAAUAGUCGCAAACGACGAAAACUACGCACUAGCAGCUUAAUACCCUGCUUAGAGCCUACCCUCCCUAGCCUUAGCUCGUAGGACGGGGAUCAAGGGUAGUCAACCCAAACGAGAUCGCGUGGAUGAUUUGACCUGGGAUCUGAAGCGUUAAACCUGAUUCAGGUGUGUCUUUGUGUGGCGUGUCUUUCCGCAGCACACUGACGAGAUUAAAGACAGACUAAGCAUGUAGCGCCAUUAGUUAGACUGGUUUUGGACGCGGGUUCAACUCCCGCCAGCUCCACCA